AGCCAGCUGCGUUACUUAAUGUGAAUUGCAGGACACAUUGAACAUCGACAUCUUGAACGCAUAUUGCGGCCUCGGGUCCAUCUCGGGGCCACGCCUGUCUGAGGGUCGGCGACUAAGCAAUCGCAAACAACGUUUGCGCAUUGGGCUUUCGUAGUGACAC
rnacentral:rRNA from 1 species